rnacentral:antisense_RNA from 1 species
UUCUAUGGCGGGCCGCGCAGGGAGACCUUCGGGUCUGCCGGUCAAUGCUCCGGUUCGCCAACCUUGCGCGGCUUGCCACCCUU